rnacentral:rRNA from 1 species
UACGGAGGAGGCAAGCGUUAUCCGGAAUUAUUGGGCGUAAAGCGUCCGCAGGUGGCCCCUCAAGUCUGCUGUCAAAGACCGGGGCUUAACCCCAGAAAGGCAGUGGAAACUGAAGUGCUAGAGUGCAGUAGGGGUAGAGGGAAUUCCCGGUGUAGCGGUGAAAUGCGUAGAGAUCGGGAAGAACAUCGGUGGCGAAAGCGCUCUGCUGGACUGCAACUGACACUCAGGGACGAAAGCUAGGGGAGCGAAUGGG